rnacentral:rRNA from 1 species
ACGGCUCAGUAACACGUGGAUAACCUACCCUUGGGACGGGCAUAAACCCGGGAAACUGGGUAUAAUUCCCGAUAGGUCUGGGAGGCUGGAAUGCACUCAGACUGAAAGCUCCGGCACCCAAGGAUGGGUCUGCGGCCUAUCAGGUAGUAGUGGGUGUAACGUACCUACUAGCCUACUACGGGUACGGGUUGUGAGAGCAAGAGCCCGGAGAUGGAUUCUGAGACACGAAUCCAGGCCCUACGGGGUGCAGCAGGCGCGAAAACUUUACAAUGCGGGCAACCGCGAUAAGGGGACCUCGAGUGCCGACAUCAAAUGUCGGCUGUCGUGAUGCCUAAAAAGCAUUAUAUAGCAAGGGCCGGGCAAGACCGGUGCCAGCCGCCGCGGUAACACCGGCGGCUCGAGUGGUGACCGCUAUUAUUGGGUUUAAAGGGUCUGUAGCCGGCCGGCUAAGUCUUUUGGGAAAUCUGGCCGCUCAACGGUCAGGCUUUCAGGAGAUACUGUCUGGCUCGAGGCCGGGAGAGGUGAGAGGUACUUCAGGGGUAGGGGUGAAAUCUUGUAAUCCUUGAAGGACCACCAGUGGCGAAGGCGUCUCACCAGAACGGACCUGACGGCAAGGGACGAAAGCUAGGGGCACGAACCGGAUUAGAUACCCGGGUAGUCCUAGCCGUAAACGAUACUCGCUAGGUGUCGGCCACGGUGCGACCGUGGUCGGUGCCGCAGGGAAACCGUGAAGCGAGCCACCUGGGAAGUACGGCCGCAAGGCUGAAACUUAAAGGAAUUGGCGGGGGAGCAC